rnacentral:lncRNA from 1 species
GGGGCCGGAAGCUGGGCUCUCCGAGUUGGAGGGAGAGGAGGAGCUGACGGACGAGGAUGGAGUCGCCCUCGCCGAGGGAGAGCCCGAAGGGGACGAGGAGUACGUGGAGGAGGGUGGAGUCGUCGUCGCCGAGGGAGAGCCCGAAGGGGACGAGGAGUACGUGGAGGAGGGUGGAGUCGUCGUCGCCGAGGGAGAUCCGGAAGGGGAGGAUGAGUACGUGGAGGAGGAGGGAGGAGAGGAGCCGUAUCCCGAGCCGCCUGAGGAGGCCAAGCUCUUCGUCGGGAAUCUCCCUUACGACAUCGACAGCG